UACGUAGGGAGCGAGCGUUGUCCGGAUUCAUUGGGCGUAAAGAGCUCGUAGGCGGCUUGGUAAGUCGGAUGUGAAACCUCCAGGCUCAACCUGGAGUCGCCAUCCGAUACUGCCAUGGCUAGAGUCCGGUAGGGGCCCACGGAAUUCCUGGUGUAGCGGUGAAAUGCGCAGAUAUCAGGAGGAACACCGAUGGCGAAGGCAGGUCUCUGGGCCACUACUGACGCUGAGAAGCGAAAGCAUGGGGAGCGAACAGG
rnacentral:rRNA from 1 species